ACGGAAGCAGGUCCGGUGCUAGCAAUGUCGUUAGGGUUCGCGAAAGAGCCGUUUCCAGUGAAGUCAGGAGCUUGUGGUACGGUGGUUAGAAACGCCGAGAUGAAAAUCAUCGAUCCAGACACCGGAGACUCACUUUCCAAAAACAAACCUGGAGAGAUUUGCAUCCGUGGUCACCAGAUCAUGAAAGGUUACCUCAACAACCCGGCGGCUACAGCAGAGACCAUUGACAAAGACGGCUGGCUUCACACCGGAGAUAUCGGGUUGAUCGAUGACGACGACGAGCUUUUCAUUGUCGAUCGUUUGAAAGAGCUUAUCAAGUACAAAGGUUUUCAAGUGGCUCCGGCUGAGCUAGAGGCUCUCCUCAUCGGUCAUCAGGAUAUCACCGACGUGGCCGUUGUCGCGUAAGUACAAAAAAAAAACUUAACCCUAUCUUCUGUAGUUGUCGCGUGAGCGACACGUUUAGCAUGUUUUGAUUCUUAGUGGUUGGUUAAAGUGAUGACACACUUCAACAACAAAACAAAACGCUAACCCCAAAGAUUUAAAAACGUUGAAGCUUUUUUUGUCCUUAGUCAAAAACGUGGCAGUAAAGCGUUCAUUCAAUUAUAUGAAACGAACAUGGUUUUGGUUUGUUGCGCCUAGGGUUAACGACAAUGUCCUUUUUUGUCACCUUCUUACACUUGCUUUCUUUUGUUUUGUUCUGUGUAAAUUGAACAGAAUGAAGGAAGAGGCUGCUGGUGAAGUUCCCGUUGCGUUUGUUGUGAAAUCCAAGGAUUCAGAGUUAUCGGAAGAUGAUGUGAAACAAUUCGUGGCGAAACAGGUAAAAUGAAUUUUCGGUUUUUUUUUUUAUUUUUGAUCAUUCCAUGAAUUUUCAGUUCUUGAUUUUGAUUAUUGCAUGAGAAAAUAUUGAAUCACUUGGUUGAUGCAAAAUAUUUGUGUUUGUCUGUGAAUAACACAGGUUGUGUUUUACAAGAGAAUCAACAAAGUGUUCUUCGUUGAGUCCAUUCCUAAAGCUCCAUCAGGGAAGAUAUUGAGGAAAGACCUGAGGGCAAAACUAGCAAAUGGGUUGGUGAACUAAAGAAACGAAACGCAAAAGAUGUUCCAUUGUGUAUAUACAUACAACAACUGUUUGACGAACCCAACGAAGGAAGGAGAGGGACUCAUUCGAAUCAUACCAAUGUCUGUUUCUUUUUUGUUUGUUUGUUGUUGUUGUUGUCUUUGAUUCAUGUAAUGAACCUUUUGUAAUAAAAGGUGGUUUCUUUUUUUUGGGUUUCAUGUAACUUGUGCUGGAGAAGACCAGCAGACUUUUUUUCAUAAAAUAAAUUACUCGGAUUAUGCAAUUUUUCUUAACAUUCCAUGAAUGUGCUGGUCGUUUUGCAAGAAACAGUACUAAGCUAGUUCAGCUUAUAAUGCAGAGUACAAAAAGACAGAGAUGGUCAAGAGAUGCACGUUUUAUAUCUUAGAACAUGUAAUGACUCUGCUACUGAAUUACUUGGUGGAAUAAACCAUCAUGAGGUGCAAAGUGAUUCAAACUAUAUACGCUUUGCUUUAAGCUAAGUACAAGACAAUGACAUAGUUUGUGUAAACAAUAAGACAUGAUCAACCUUUAGUGCAGAAACAUUAUCAGACAAAACUAAAAAUUCAGUGUGGAGGAGGCAAGAGUUGAUGUAGGUUCUGAGGAGACCUAUUCUGACUCUGACUCGCCCCUCUACGCACAAAAGGAUGUUGCAAAAGCUGAACAGCGGUCUGCCUCCUCGCCGGUUCUCUCUGCAAACAACACGAAACAAAGUGUCUAAACUCCGGAGACGCCGUGGCAGGAGCUUCAGGCGGCUUAGACAUACAAAUGGCACACAUAAGACUAGCCCAAUCACCUAGCCUAUUCACAUUAAAAGGAAACCUCCCCAAGAAAAACUCAAGAACACUAACACCGAAGCUCCAAAUAUCACCAGCACGACCAUCAUACAUCCCCUGAUUCAAGUCCGUGUUGAUCCUCUCAGGACUCAUGUAAGCAAUAGUCCCAACAGAGGACUUACACGGAGACAGGGUCUGAGCCAAGACCCUACUCACUCCAAAAUCAGCAAUCUUGACGUUAUUGUCCGAGUUUAUAAGUAGAUUCGAUGGCUUUAUGUCUCUAUGGACUAUAUGACGGCCGUGAAGAUAAGCCAAACGAGCGUCGCUCAGCAAGUCGACGGCGAUAAUCCGAAUCUUUACUUCCACAGCGAUGACGUCAUACUCUGUGUCUUGCCCUUGUUCCAUAUCUACGCUUUGAACUCGAUCAUGCUGUGUGGGCUUAGAGUUGGUGCCUCCAUCUUGAUCAUGCCCAAGUUCGAGAUUAAUCUGCUCUUGGAGCUGAUACAGAGGUGUAAAGUGACGGUUGCUCCGAUGGUUCCGCCGAUUGUUUUGGCGAUGGCGAAGUCGCCGGAGACGGAGAAGUAUGACUUGAGCUCGAUUAGGGUUGUGAAGUCUGGUGCUGCUCCGCUUGGUAAGGAGCUUGAAGAUGCCGUAAGUGCCAAGUUUCCUAACGCCAAACUCGGUCAGGUGUGUGUUUGUGUCUCGAUUUGUUUCUUUAUUCGGAAAUACAGAAUCGUAACAUAUUAGAAAAUCCAAAUUAAAAUAUGGAAUUGAAUCACAUUACCAAAAAAAACAUUAUGGAAUAGUAUAUAUUUAGAUUAGCUAAAAAAAUGAUUAAAUUUAUUUAUUUUUUCAAAAAAAAAUGAUUAAAUUUUACUAUAUUUAAGUAAAUGCUGGCUAUGAACAGUGAAGUAUUUUAGCAACAAAAAAAACGUAGAUUUCUUUGCUUAGUAAUUUCAUGGUUUUUAAGUAUGAAUAUUCAUCUUUAAUCUACACAAGAAACAAGUAUUAUCAAAUGAUUUAAUUAUUUAGAUUACUUAUUAGAUGAUAUUUGCUAUUGACAUAAUCAAGAAAAAUGUAUGAAAAGAGUUACAAACUUGUAACAAUUAAAACUUGAUGUAACCCAAACAACAUAAAUUCAGAUUUUAUAUUUUAUUAUUUUGGUCAUUAGUUUUGUAAAGUGGUACAUGUAAAAUCAAAUGAUCAAUAAUAAUCUCGAUUAUUUAUGCAUUUUAAAAAUGUUUUAAAUGUAUUUUUAAAACUGUUGAUGUGAUUAGGGAUACGGAAUGACGGAAGCAGGUCCGGUGCUAGCAAUGUCGUUAGGGUUCGCGAAAGAGCCGUUUCCAGUGAAGUCAGGAGCUUGUGGUACGGUGGUUAGAAACGCCGAGAUGAAAAUCAUCGAUCCAGACACCGGAGACUCACUUUCCAAAAACAAACCUGGAGAGAUUUGCAUCCGUGGUCACCAGAUCAUGAAAGGUUACCUCAACAACCCGGCGGCUACAGCAGAGACCAUUGACAAAGACGGCUGGCUUCACACCGGAGAUAUCGGGUUGAUCGAUGACGACGACGAGCUUUUCAUUGUCGAUCGUUUGAAAGAGCUUAUCAAGUACAAAGGUUUUCAAGUGGCUCCG
rnacentral:lncRNA from 1 species